rnacentral:tRNA from 1 species
AUGGAAAUCUCUGUAAAUUUUAGAUAGUAUAGGGGCGGAUGU